AUAAGAGUCUUAUAUUUAACUGCAUGAUAUUGCAUAGGGGAGAACUAGAUUUGCUAAAAUGAUUGUAAUUGUUAGAAUAUUAACUUCAGAUGCUGUCGAGGUAGCCCAUUCUAUUCUAGUACAAGG
rnacentral:snoRNA from 1 species